AACGCGAAGAACCUUACCAAGGUUUGACAUGCAGGGAAAAGCCGUAGAGAUACGGUGUCCGUAAGGGCCCUGCACAGGUGGUGCAUGGCUGUCGUCAGCUCGUGUCGUGAGAUGUUGGGUUAAGUCCCGCAACGAGCGCAACCCUCGUCCUAUGUUGCCAGCGGAUAAUGCCGGGGACUCAUAGGAGACUGCCGGGGUCAACUCGGAGGAAGGUGGGGAUGACGUCAAGUCCUCAUGCCCCUUAUGUCUUGGGCUGCAAACAUGCUACAAUGGCCAGUACAAAGGGUUGCGAGACCGCAAGGUGGAGCGAAUCCCAAAAAGCUGGUCUCAGUUCGGAUUGGGGUCUGCAACUCGACCCCAUGAAGUCGGAGUCGCUAGUAAUCGCAGAUCAGCAACGCUGCGGUGAAUACGUUCCCGGGCCUUGUA
rnacentral:rRNA from 1 species